UACGGGGGAGGCAAGCGUUGUUCGGAAUUACUGGGCGUAAAGGGCGCGUAGGCGGCGUGGUAAGUCACUUGUGAAAUCUCCGAGCUUAACUCGGAACUGCCAAGUGAUACUGCUGUGCUAGAGUGCAGAAGGGGCAACCGGAAUUCUUGGUGUAGCGGUGAAAUGCGUAGAUAUCAAGAGGAACACCUGAGGUGAAGACGGGUUGCUGGGCUGACACUGACGCUGAGGCGCGAAAGCUAGGGUAGCAAACGGG
rnacentral:rRNA from 1 species